rnacentral:rRNA from 1 species
GGAUUGAACGCUGGCGGCAUGCCUAACACAUGCAAGUCGAACGGGAGUAGCAAUACUCUAGUGGCGGACGGGUGAGGAAUACGUAGGAAUUUGCCCUUAAGUGGGGGAUAACCCGGGGAAACCCGGAUUAAUACCGCAUGACCUCGAAAGAGCAAAGUGGGGGAUCGCAAGACCUCACGCUUUUGGAGAAGCCUACGUCGGAUUAGCUAGUUGGUGAGGUAAAUGGCUCACCAAGGCGACGAUCCGUAACUGGUCUGAGAGGAUGAUCAGUCACACCGGAACUGAGACACGGUCCGGACUCCUACGGGAGCAGCAGUGGGGAAUAUUGGACAAUGGGCGACAAGCCUGAUCCAGCAAUGCCGCGUGUGUGAAGAA